UCGGCGUUACUGCCAACUGUGCCCCAGCCCUGACAGACAGAGACACCUGGGUCACACUGUGUACUUCCCUGGACACAAGUGUCCUGCCAUCUGCACCUGGCAUACCAGCGAGAGGAUUCUGGUGUUUUUGUGCCCCUUUGGGUGGUUGUCAGCCUACCAGCAUUGGAAACCGUCCUCUGACUUUCACAAUAACCAUCAAUUAAAGCUGGUUGAAGAUGGGCAGAAGUCACAUAAGGACAGCUACCCACAAGGAUGUGAAAAUCUCCUGAAGGGUGGCAUAUUUAGGCUGGAUCCCAUUAACUGGAUUACAAAAAGUUGUUGAAAUGAAUCUUGUUGCCUAAGGCAAACACCCUUUUUUAAAAAUAGUGUGAGUCUAAAUAAUACACAGAUGUUGCCUUCUUUAGUAAAAAUAAAAUUCACUGGGACAAUGGUUUCUGAACUAAACAGUGCUAAGUGAUCUUGCAGGUGCUUCCCUUAGUAGCUGAUACUUUUCUAAGACUGAUAGCAUGCAACUGAAGCUUGCUUUGAGCAAUAUUUCUGAAAUUAAACUUUGUCAGCUUGCUGAACAAAAGAGGCAGACUCCACCUGUGUGCUCUCUGCCUUCAGUGCCGAAAAGAAGAGACGUGGCUGUAAGCAGCCUCACUACACCAAAGGCUCUCUGUGUUCUGCCUUCAGGACAACUUUGUCCAGACUUCAUCACUAAUCACAGUGGGGUGCAGAUCAGGCGCAAUCAAUCUGCAAAGCUUUGAUGCAUGAGCAUAAUCCAAGGUGACUGCUGUUCUCCCCAGGACUUGUGCAGCCUUAGGGGCUGUGGGCAGUUUUUUUACCCUUUUUCAGGCCUUACACGGUUUCACUCAGCUGCACCUUGCAUCAGAGUAGCACAGUGACUCUGAUGCACUGAAUGGAGCAUAUGCUGGAAAAUGUUUUUCUGAAUACAAAGAGCAUGGUCCAGCCCAUCUCUGCUUCCUGAGAGGAGACAAUUAUCUGUUAGAUAGUGUACAUCUCAGCUUGUGUUUGCGGAAGUUGGGAGUUUAAGAUUGAAUUUACAUGGGAGAAGAAAGACAGACUGCAGCCAUGCCUUCUCUCCUGUAGGAGUGUGUCUCAGCACUUACAACCCCUCUGUGUAACUGCUGCCUGUCCUGUGUUGCUGGAGGAAAUGAAGCAUAUGGCUUUAAGAUAUCAGAGAACAGACAGUUAAUUGUGCAUAUGUGGAACCAAGCAAGUAUUGUCACUUUAACUUGAUCUGAAAUUCCUGUAACACCACUAUUUCCAGAUAUCAGUGUCUGGAUUAUCACUUAUCUCAGGUAUGACUCAUAAACAUCUGGCUAUAAGGAAGAGCUACCACCACAAUUUUUGUUCUGUGAUUAAAUAAACAUUCCCACCAAAAUGGA